AUGAAGCACUACUACUACCUCUACCACUACUACCACUACUGUCUCUACUACUACCACCUCUACUACUACCACUACUGCCUCUACUACUACCACUACUACCUCUACCACUACCACUACUGCCUCUACUACUACCACUAUCUACUACUACCACUACUGCCUCUACUACUACCACUACUGCCUCUACUACUACCACUACUACCUCUACCACUACCACUACUGCCUCUACUACUACCACUAUCUACUACUACCACUACUGCCUCUACUACUACCACUACUGCCUCUACUACUACCACUACUACUACCACUACUGCCUCUACUACUACCACUACUGCCUCUACUACUACCACUACCACUACUACCACUACUGCCUCUACUACUACCACUACUGCCUCUACUACUACCUCUACUGCUACCACUACCACUACUACCUCUACUACUACCACUACCCCCUCUACUACUACUACCACUACUGCCUCUACUACUACUACCACUACUGCCCCAUACUACCACUACUGCCUCUACUACUACCACUACUGCCUCUACUAUUACUACCUCUGCUACUACUACUACUACUAUUACUACCACUACUAUUACUACUGCCACUACUACAGCUACUGCCACUACUACUAUUACCACUACUACUGCCACUACUACUACUACCACUACUGCCUCUACUAUUACUACCUCUACUGCCACUACUAUUACUACUACCUCUACUGUCACUACUACCACUACUACCACUACUACCUCUACUGCCACUACUACCUCUACUGCCAAGACUACUACCUCUACUACCUCUACUGCCACUACUACUACUACCACUACUGCCAAUUCUACCUCUACUACAACACCACCACCAAACGCCAGUCAUCACUUACCAACCCUGUUCUCUAUCCUUACACAUCUAGAGGAGACCUGCCAAAUUUGGAAUCCAUUCCCCUUUUUACCGGCUUUUCUCACCUCCCUCCUUCCAUAUCUUUCUCCCUUCGUUUCUGCGCAAAGUGUGGUUUCAUAUGUCAUGUCUGGAUUCAUGCAUAG
rnacentral:lncRNA from 8 species